GACCACUCCGGUGGCAUAGUGGUUAGAGCAUCCGCCUCGAAUGCGGGAGGUCGUGGGUUCGAUCCCCGGUCGAGUCA